UACGUAGGGGGCAAGCGUUGUCCGGAUUUAUUGGGCGUAAAGAGCGUGUAGGCGGCCGUACAGGUCAGCUGUGAAAACUCGAGGCUCAACCUCGAGACGUCGGUUGAAACCGUACGGCUAGAGUCCGGAAGAGGAGAGUGGAAUUCCCGGUGUAGCGGUGAAAUGCGCAGAUAUCGGGAGGAACACCAACGGCGAAGGCAGCUCUCUGGGACGUUACUGACGCUGAGACGCGAAAGCGUGGGGAGCAAACGGGG
rnacentral:rRNA from 1 species